GACGAACGCUGGCGGCAUGCCUAAUACAUGCAAGUUGAACGAUGAUAUUCUCUGCUUGCAGAGAAUUGAAGAGUAGCGAACGGGUGAGUAACACGUGGGGAACCUGCCCAUGAGAGGGGGAUAACAUUCGGAAACGGAUGCUAAUACCGCAUAAUGCUUUGGACCGCCUGGUCCAGAGACGAAAGACGGCUUUUGCUGUCACUCAUGGAUGGCCCCGCGCCGUAUUAGCUAGUUGGUGAGGUAAUGGCUCACCAAAGCUGUGAUACGUAGCCGACCUGAGAGGGUGAUCGGCCACACUGGGACUGGGACACGGCCCAGACUCCUACGGGAGGCAGCAGUAGGGAAUCUUCCACAAUGGGCGAAAGCCUGAUGGAGCAAUGCCGCGUGAAUGAAGAAGGUCUUCGGAUCGUAAAGUUCUGUUAUUAGAGAAGAACAAGUCAAGGAGUAACUGUCUUGACUUUGACGGUACCUAACCAGAAAGUCACGGCUAACUACGUG
rnacentral:rRNA from 1 species